rnacentral:misc_RNA from 1 species
GAACGCACAUUGCGCCCUUUGGUAUUCCGAAGGGCAUGCCUGUUCGAGCGUCAUUAUCACCCCUCAAGCCCCCGGCUUGGUGUUGGACGGUUUGGUGGAGACCCCUCGCGGGCUUCUACCCCUCCCAAAGACAAUGACGGCGGCCUCGUUGGACCCCCGGUACACUGAGUUCUUCACGGGACACGUAUCGGAUACACGGGUUUACGGGACACGGUCUGCCUCCCCUCAGGGAGAAUCUUUCUAAGGUUGACCUCGGAUCAGGUAGGGAUACCCGCUGAACUUAAG